rnacentral:rRNA from 1 species
AUGAUGCUCUUGUCGCCAACCGGACUUGGACCCUCGUUCCUCGUCCGCCUGGAGCGAACAUCAUCUCGGGCAAGUGGGUUUUUCAUCACAAACUCCUCCUGGACGGUUCUCUGGACAGGUACAAGGCUCGCUGGGUUGUCCGUGGAUUUGCACAACAUGCCGGUGUUGACUUCUCUGAGACUUUCUCUCUGGUAG